rnacentral:rRNA from 1 species
GCUUUACACAUGCAAGUCGAACGGUAACAGGGUGCUUGCACCGCUGACGAGUGGCGAACGGGUGAGUAAUGCGUCGGAACGUGCCGAGUAGUGGGGGAUAACGCAGCGAAAGUUGUGCUAAUACCGCAUACGUACUGAGGUAGAAAGUGGGGGACCUUCGGGCCUCACGCUAUUCGAGCGGCCGACGUCUGAUUAGCUAGUAGGUGAGGUAAAGGCUCACCUAGGCGACGAUCAGUAGCGGGUCUGAGAGGAUGAUCCGCCACACUGGGACUGAGACACGGCCCAGACUCCUACGGGAGGCAGCAGUGGGGAAUUUUGGACAAUGGGCGAAAGCCUGAUCCAGCCAUGCCGCGUGUCUGAAGAAGGCCUUCGGGUUGUAAAGGACUUUUGUCAGGGAGGAAAUCCCUAGCGUUAAUACCGCUGGGGGAUGACAGUACCUGAAGAAUAAGCACCGGCUAACUACGUGCCAGC